GUCUCGUGUGUGUGUGUGUGUGUGUGUGUGUGUGUGUGUGUGUGUGUGUGUGAAGGGAAAAGGGAUAAGUUUAAAUAGACAGACGGAAAAAAGACUCGCAGCUAAAUGAAAUGAUGGAAGUGGUAGAAAGUAAUAGAGAAGGGAAACUGAAUGGAGAAGAAACGACGGAAGGAAGAAAUGAAGGAAUAGGAGGGAAAAAGGAAGAUAGAAGGUAAGAGAGAGGAGGAGGAAUAGGAAAGUGGAGCAGACUGAAAUGAUGGAAGUGGUAGAUAGAAAGAAGGGAAAAUGUGUGAAGGAAGGAAGGAAGGAAAAAGGGAACAAAGGAAGGUAGAAAGCGAGAAAGAAAAGGGAAUAGGAAAAUGGGGAAAAAGGAAAUGAUGGAAGUGGUAGACAUAAAUAAGAAAGGAAAAUGGAAGCAGAAGAAGCAAAGGAAGGGAGGAAUAUGUGGAUGAAACGAAGGUAGAAAGUGAAAGCGAAAUUAGUGAAGAAAAUGCGUGUAGAAGAAGCGAAGGAAGGAGGGAACAAUUAUGUGAAUGAAGCGAAGGUAGAAAGUGAAAGCGAAAUUAGUGAAGAAAAUGCGUGUAGAAGAAGCGAAGGAAGGAGGGAAUAAUUAUGUGGAUGAAACGAAGGUAGAAAGUGAGAGCGAGAUUAGUGAAGUAUUAGGAGAAAAGAAAGUGAUAACGAGUGUAGAUAAAGAUAUGUUAUUAGGCAGGGAUUUAGUAAUUAUGUGUGGCUCCUUCUCUUCGCCGGAAUUAAUUAGUGGUAGGAUGAAUUUGCUAUUAGAUUCGAUUCCGCAGAAAGUAAAAUGAAUAGGAGAAAGCAGAUGCCUCGUUCAAGAAUGCAUCAACAAGAACUCUAUAGCAACAGCAACAACAAAAGCAGCAAGCGAUGUUUAUGUGUAUAUACGAGGGUAUUAAGAGAGAAAAAAAAAGCGUUAGUGUCAGCGAAAUAAGUUUUAAAGGCAAAAAGAACGUUUGUCGAUAUCCGUGAAAGAAAAUAUUUUAGACUUUAAAGUAUAUUGCUUUUUUUUUUACUUUGUUCACUCAAGAAAUUGUUCAAAUGCAGCAAUGAAUCGUGUAUGUGUCUGUUAUUACAGCUUUUUUUUUUUUUUUUUUUUUUUUUUUAAGGAUUAUUUAGCAGUGGUUCCCAACCUUUGCUAUGCUCCACAGCUCCGGGAAAUAUUUGAUUAAAGCUCGCACGCCCUACAAAAGUAUUACCACCUUUGAUGAUGAAGUCCAAUUUUUAGCUAUUGGAACACAAAUUGAACCACAUAUGAUACUGCGGGUGAACAAAUUGAACUUCAAAGAAUAAGCUUUUAACUCACUGCAGAAAAUGAAGUCAUGAAUGAAGCAAUUAGAUCAUUUCAUUCAGAAAAAAAUAACAGUAAAAUCGAUCCACACAUCCCACUCUUUAACGCACCCCUGAUAUUGCGACCCCCCCCCCCCCCCCUCGGUUGGGAACUCCUGUUAUCAAGCAAAGAAAAAAAAAAGAACAACUGACUUCUUCAUACCAUCCCCAUAUUAUACCAAUUUCAAUGCAGUUUUUUUUCCCCCUAUGCAUGUGUUAUAAUUUACAUAGUAGUUUACCCGUUGUUCCCUUUGUUACGACAUUGUAUACUAUUAAGAUGUUACGAAAGUGUUAGGUAUAUUACGAUGUUUCAGUGCCCCCCCCCUCCCGUUAGUGUUACCCUGUGGUGUUCCCCUGUGUUAGUUCAUUCAUCAUCUUCCCGUGUGUGUGUGUGUGUGUGUGUGUGUGUGUGUGUGUGUGUGUGUGUGUUUAUAAUUAGUGCCUUGUAAGAAGUGUUGAUUGAUGGAUUGAACUUGAUUUGGUUGAUUUUUUGGUUGCUCACGAGGAAGGAUAACUACUACUACUACUACUACUACUACUACUACUACUACUAUUACUACUACUACUACUAUUAGCUAAUUUCCUUUCUCUACCUCAUUUCUCUCCAUUUACUUCCUGUUCUUUACCUGUAUUUACCUCUUAUUGUAUCAUUUCUAACCUGUUUACCAAUCUUGUAUCCUUCCUUACCAGCGAACAUCCCCUUAGGCACGAAUUGGCCAAGAUAUAACUGUAUGAUGUUAAGCAUGUAUACUGCAGAGACAUAUAAAAAUGAAUUAGUCUACCUUAAAAAGACAUCCAUUUUCACGCUUCCUUCCACUCCAAGAAAACGUGAGGGGUCUUGAGGGGGCAACACCACCACCACCACAGAGACCAGCCAUGGAUGAUUCUGUAGCAACACGCCUAUGUAUUUGUAAACUGAUUUCCUCUUGCUUUUGUCGUGAUUUAAGCUGUGGUUGGUUUACGCUUAGUAGUAUGUAACCUCCCUUUUGUUUUAACGUUGUCUAUGGAGAUGUGUGUAAGGCAGGGAGGGGAUAGUAGACAAGAAUGAAAGAAAGAAGGAAAGGAAGGUAGGCAGGCAGGUAGGGAGGUCUCAGAGAAGGUGAUGAUUUCUAGCAUUAGUUGUGUAGUAUCUGGUUUACUUGAACCCGCCGUGUACAUACUGUGACAUAGCAUUAAAUAAAGUGAUACGGAGGAACUGUGA